GAAAUGUGAUAAGUAAUGUGAAUUGCAGAAUUCAGUGAAUCAUAGAAUCUUUGAACGCACCUUGCGCUCCUUGGUAUUCCUUGGAGCAUGCCUGUUUGAGUAUCAUGAAAUCUUCAAAGUAAAUCUUUUGUUAACUCAAUUGGUUUCUACUUUGGUAUUGGAGGUCUUUGCAGCUUCACACCUGCUCCUCUUUGUUCAUUAGCUGGAUCUCAGUGUUAUGCUUGGUUCCACUCGGCGUGAUAAGUUAUCUAUCGCUGAGGACACUGUAAAAGGUGGCCAAGGUAAAUGCAGAUGAACCGCUUCUAAUAGUCCAUUGACUUGGACAAUACUUUUAUGAUCUGAUCUCAAAUCAGGUAGGACUACCCGCUGAACUUAAGC
rnacentral:misc_RNA from 1 species